rnacentral:lncRNA from 1 species
UCAUUUCUUUUUCGCCAGGUUUCAUUCUCUUUCUUGGAUGAUGGAAAAACCAGCAAGCUACGGCUUGAAAGCUUACCUUCUUCUCUUCUGGAGAAAGGGCUUUCUUUAUAGAUGAAGACGUUGAGUAAGGGGGGCGGAGCUUGAAGAGCUAAGCGAGCUGCGCUAGCCUAUUACGUUUUUCAGCAGCAAGCUACGGUCUAAUGCUUGCCUCCGGUGGCUAACCUAGGUUGAGCUGAAAACUCCAAAACUAGUGCCUCCGGUGGCUAACCAUAUUAUUAUUUUUAUUUAAAAAAAUUAUAGCAAUAUCGAUAUGUCAUACUCAAAUUAUAGUGAAUAAAAUGUUCGGUCUUAUGGUGUAUUAUUUUAAACAUUACGUAUGAAAAAGUUGCGAGGAAGUUGUUCUAGACAGUUACUAAUCUACACCAAAUUUACUACCAAUUACUCUUUGAAGUGCCUGCCUGAUCAUCUUUGCUGUUGA